GAUGAACGCUAGCUACAGGCUUAACACAUGGCAAGGUCGAGGGGAAACGACAGAGGAAGCUUGCUUCCUUGGGCGUCGACCGGCGCACGGGUGAGUAACGCGUAUCCAACCUUCCCAUGUCCACGGGAUAGCCCGUCGAAAGGCGGAUUAAUACCGUAUGAGGUCACAUGCGGGCAUCUAAUUGUGACGAAAGGUUUAGCGGACAUGGAUGGGGGAUGCGUCCGAUUAGCUAGUUGGCGGGGUAACGGCCCACCAAGGCGACGAUCGGUAGGGGUUCUGAGAGGAAGGUCCCCCCACAUUGGAACUGAGACACGGUCCAAACUCCUACGGGAGGCAGCAGUGAGGAAUAUUGGUCAAUGGACGCAAGUCUGAACCAGCCAAGUAGCGUGCAGGAUGACGGCCCUAUGGGUUGUAAACUGCUUUUAUGCGGGGAUAAAGUUAGGGAUGUAUCCCUUUUUGCAGGUACCGCAUGAAUAAGGACCGGCUAAUUCCGUG
rnacentral:rRNA from 1 species